GUGCUCGCUACGGCGGCACCUAUACUAAAAUUGGGAUGAUAAAGAGAUUAGCCUGGCCCCUGUUCAAGGAUGACAGGCAAAGUCAUACAGCAGUGCAUAUUUUU
ensembl:snRNA U6 U6 spliceosomal RNA